rnacentral:rRNA from 1 species
AGCAGCCGCGGUAAUUCCAGCUCCAAUAGCGUAUAUUAAAGUUGUUGCAGUUAAAAAGCUCGUAGUUGAAUUUCGGGAUCAAGUCGUCGGUCGUGCUUAGGUACGUACUGGCGUCAUUGAUUUCUCCCUUCUGACGAACCAUGAUGUCAUUAAUUUGGUGUCAUGGGAAAUCAGGACUGUUACUUUGAAAAAUUAGAGUGUUUAAAGCAGGCUCACGCUUGAAUACAUUAGCAUGGAAUAAUGAAAUAGGACGUUCGAUCCUAUUUUGUUGGUUUUAGGAUCAACGUAAUGAUUAAUAGGGAUAGUUGGGGGCAUUAGUAUUCAAUUGUCAGAGGUGAAAUUCUUGGAUUUAUUGAAGACUAACUACUGCGAAAGCAUUUGCCAAGGAUGUUUUCAUUAAUCAAGAACGAAAGUUAGGGGAUCGAAGACGAUCAGAUACCGUCGUAGUCU